rnacentral:misc_RNA from 1 species
ACCUACUGUUUAAUUUUGAGGGUUCGUUUUUACGAAUGCUCAAAAUUAGCACUUUAAGCAACGGGAUUUAUCCGUUGGCGCUGUGCGUUAGCACUUUGAAAACUGCAUAUAUAUAUUUAGUGAUAUGACACCUAAUUUGUAAUAUAAAGCUGAUAACUUUUUAAAAUUAUCGAAGUUGAUAGCUUCUAAUCUAUCAAACCUUUUUAACUGGUCAA